UUGGCUGUCGUCAGCUCGUGUCGUGAGAUGUUGGGUUAAGUCCCGCAACGAGCGCAACCCCUGUUCCUAGUUGCUACCGGGUAAUGCCGGGCACUCUAGGGAAACUGCCGGUGACAAGCCGGAGGAAGGCGGGGAUGACGUCAAGUCCUCAUGGCCCUUAUGGGCUGGGCUACACACGUGCUACAAUGGCGAUGACAAUGGGCAGCGACCUCGCGAGGGGAAGCAAAUCCGUGAAAAGUCGUCUCAGUUCGGAUUGUACUCUGCAACUCGAGUGCAUGAAGUCGGAAUCGCUAGUAAUCGUGGAUCAGCAUGCCACGGUGAAUACGUUCCCGGGCCUUGUACACACCGCCCGUCACACCAUGGGAGUUGGUUUUACCCGAAGCCGGUGCGCUAACCUUAGGGAAGCAGCCGACCACGGUGAGGUCAGCGACUGGGGUGAAGUCGUAACAAGGUAGCCGUAGGGGAACCUGCGGCUGGAUCACCUCCUUUCUAAGGAAAUCCUGGAAGCCUGAAUUCGUUUAGGCCUCUUGGUUUUACCCUUACAAACUAAAAGAAGACGCCAGUCCACCGGACUGAAGGUUUAGGCCUUUGGUUUGGUUAGGUUCGAGGCGCCGACCACGCAUCCCUUCCAUCGAGAUAUCAGCCGUUUGUCACCUGAAAAAGUCAGGUGCUUGGCGGCUAUGAGAGACACAAGAGAUAACGGGCCUAUAGGCGGUUUUUAAACCGUUGUUUAUGCCGCAGUAGCGUGAGUGUCAGGGUCUUGGCCCGAGUGCUUGGCUAUGUAGAGGCGAGGCGACGUGUUAUGGGCCUGUAGCUCAGUUGGUUAGAGCGCGCGCUUGAUAAGCGUGAGGUCGGAAGUUCAAGUCUUCCCAGGCCCACCACUCUUAUCGGGGCCGUAGCUCAGUUGGGAGAGCGCCUGCUUUGCAAGCAGGAGGUCGUCGGUUCGAUCCCGUCCGGCUCCACCAAAAACUUGCUGGAUCUGGCCGGUUCCUAGAACUGGCUUGGCGGCUCCGCAAUUGUCUUUUGUAGACUGAUCUCGAUGGAAAUAGGGAAGUUGGUUUUGCGCCGUGAUAAGGUUCAGGUCUUCGGGCUUUUAUCUUGUUGCGGGUUUUUUGACAGAGUGAAGAGGGUUUGUAAUCGCCGCGUGGCGUCUUGCCUCACUGAUGUGAGGAGGCAGGAAAGCGCGCGGCACGAGUUGCUGGCGCGUGUCUGUCCGGUGCUUUGGUUUACCUGUUAUCGACCAAAGCGGUAGCUCGUGUGGUGGUAGAAUACUGCUUGGGUAUUUGCCGUUGUGCGUGGUUAGGAUGGUCAUGCGUGUCAAGCGUCUUAAGGGCAUUUGGUGGAUGCCUUGGCGUCGAGAGGCGAUGAAGGACGUGGUACGCUGCGUUAAGCCGUGGGGAGCUGCGAACAAGCUUUGAUCCGCGGAUAUCCGAAUGGGGAAACCCGG
rnacentral:sRNA from 1 species